rnacentral:rRNA from 1 species
CUUGCCUUUUAAUUGGAGGCUAGUAUGAACGGACAAACGAAAAUGUAUUUGUCUCAUUUAUAUUACUAAAAAUUAUCCUUCAUGUGAAGAGACAUGAAUUUUAUAAAAAGACGAAAAGACCCUAUGGAGCUUUACUUUCCUUUAUACUCAAAGAAAAUAUAAAAAACCUUUAAUAUAAAAAAAGUUUAGUUGGGGCGACUAAGGAGUAAAACAAAGCCUCCUUCUUUUAAAGAAAAUAAUUCAACUAAAAAUCCACCUAAGUGAAUAAAAAACCAGCUACCCUAGGGAUAACAGGCUAAUCCUCCUCGAGAGUUCGCAUUGACAGGAGGGAUUGGCACCUCGAUGUUGGCUUAAGGUUCCUUUAAAGUGCAGCAGCUUUAAUAGUGGGUUUGUUCAACCCUUAAAACCU